AAUAGGAGAAUGACAAAUCAAAUUUUUUUCUCCUGAUUUUCUGCUUUUUUACUCCUGAAAAAAUUCAAAUUCAACUAAAAAUGCUAAAAAUUGGGAGAAAAAUCUGAUUUGUCAUUUUCCUAUU
rfam:Gossypium hirsutum cultivar TM-1 chromosome 24, whole genome shotgun sequence